rnacentral:rRNA from 1 species
AUUGAACGCUGGCGGCAGGCCUAACACAUGCAAGUCGAACGAGUGGCGGACGGGUGAGUAAUGUCUGGGAAACUGCCCGAUGGAGGGGGAUAACUACUGGAAACGGUAGCUAAUACCGCAUACCAUCGGAUGUGCCCAGAUGGGAUUAGCUAGGAGGUGGGGUAACGGCUCACCUAGGCGACGAUCCCUAGCUGGUCUGAGAGGAUGACCAGCCAGACUGGACCUGAGACACGUUCCCGACUCCUACGGUAGUCAGCAGUGGGUAAUAUUGCCCACUGGGCGCAAGCCUGAUGCAUCCAUGCCGCGUGUAUGAAGAAGGCCUUCGGGUUGUAAAGUACUUUCAGCGAGGAGGCGUUACUCGCAGAAGAAGCACCGGCUAACUCCGUGCCAGCAGCCGCGGUAAUUC